rnacentral:lncRNA from 1 species
CGCUCCUGAGAGGAGGGACACGUGCCAUUCUCUUCUCUCCAGAGGUUCUUAGACAAAAUAAAAUUGACUUCGGGUGGGGAAAUGUAUCGUAAUGAUUCCCCAUCUGCUGAGAGGAAAUCGUGUUUCCCGAGAAUUUCUCCCUGCAAAGCUGCUGGAAUCUUCCCAGAGAGGGAGUUUCUCUGCUUUCUGGGAUUUAAUUUUCUGUUUUUCCAAACAGAGAUUUAGGAGGUGGAAGAUAUGAAGGUCACAGAAAACAUCCACUGGAGAAGAAUAUCCUGCUGGGUCAGGCGGUGCCUGCCUGGCCCUCUGGGGUCAGUUGUGAGAGCUGUCCUGACUUCUAACUGUCCCAGUUCUGAUAUGAAGUUCAAGAGCUGCUUUGGAGGGAUGGAGAGGAAAUCUUCCCGGGGUGGAUGGCUUUAUAUCAAAGUCCUCUCCAUUCCUGUUGUCUUCUGCUGGCUUCAGGGCAUCUGGAUUCCCAGAAGGAUGACCAAGGCUCAGAGGUUUCCUCAGACCAACCUCUCUGGAGGGCUCCCCCAAAGAGAAGUGAGUUAACUGCCUGGAUCUUCUCAAUUCCUCUCAGCUCCUCAGUUCUUUCACCAGAAUUCUCUGUCCUUCCUGCCCUUUCCCUGCUCGAGCUGGUCUUCCAGCUUGAUGAAUCUGCUUUCCUCUCUUACCCUAUGUGACCUUGUACAAGUUACCCCAUGACAGCUCGGUAGCUCUGUGUAUAGAAUGCUGG